rnacentral:rRNA from 1 species
GACGAACGCUGGCGGCGUGCUUAACACAUGCAAGUCGAACGGAAAGGCCCUGCUUUUGUGGGGUGCUCGAGUGGCGAACGGGUGAGUAACACGUGAGUAACCUGCCCUUGACUUUGGGAUAACUUCAGGAAACUGGGGCUAAUACCGGAUAGGAGCUCCUGCUGCAUGGUGGGGGUUGGAAAGUUUCGGCGGUUGGGGAUGGACUCGCGGCUUAUCAGCUUGUUGGUGGGGUAGUGGCUUACCAAGGCUUUGACGGGUAGCCGGCCUGAGAGGGUGACCGGCCACAUUGGGACAGAGAUACGGCCCAGACUCCUACGGGAGGCAGCAGUGGGGAAUAUUGCACAAUGGGCGGAAGCCUGAUGCAGCAACGCCGCGUGCGGGAUGACGGCCUUCGGGUUGGAAACCGCUUUCGCCUGUGACGAAGCGUGAGUGACGGUAAUGGGUAAAGAAGCACCGGCUAACUACGU